AAAUGCUCUGAAUGUCGGAACUGGGGGGAACACCCCGGUAUGGGUUAUGGGUCGGGUUGGUGAUAUUAACAGCUUGAUAGGUAGGAAUUCUAUGAUCCUUGUUCAAGGGAUAUGUUAUUUUUCUUGUUCAAGGUACAUGUGUUUAAGAUCUCUGUUUGGUAGAUUUGCAUGAGUCUUGAGACUUAUGGUUACUGUAUUGAUUUAUUAAUGAAAUAUAAUGGUGUAUUG
rnacentral:lncRNA from 1 species